AACGAACGCUGGCGGCAUGCCUAACACAUGCAAGUCGAACGAGACCUUCGGGUCUAGUGGCGCACGGGUGCGUAACGCGUGGGAACCUGCCCUUAGGUUCGGAAUAACUCCCCGAAAGGGGUGCUAAUACCGGAUAAUGUCUUCGGACCAAAGAUUUAUCGCCUUUGGAUGGGCCCGCGUUGGAUUAGCUAGUUGGUAGGGUAAAAGCCUACCAAGGCGACGAUCCAUAGCUGGUCUGAGAGGAUGAUCAGCCACACUGGGACUGAGACACGGCCCAGACCCCACGGGGAGGAGCAGGGGGGAAUAUUGGAAAAAGGGGCAAAGGCUGGACCGACCACUGCGGCGGGGGGAAGAAAGCCGUGGGGGUUGAAAACCUUUUUUCCCCGGGAGGAAAAGAACAGUCCGGGAAAAAAAGGCCCGGCCUACCCCGGGC
rnacentral:rRNA from 1 species